rnacentral:lncRNA from 1 species
GGGAGUCCGCUGUCCUCACAGCAAGAAACGGAAGGAGGUUCCCUCAGGGCUCUUUUGCCUCCCGGAAGUACAAGGCGCCUCCAUCUUCACAGCAUGAAGGAAGCCGAGGAGAUGCCAUGUGAGGGUGCAGCGAGGAGUUGGGCUGUCUAAAAGCAAAGAAAGAGAUUGCAUCAGACACCGCAUCUGCUGACACCUUGUUCUUGGACUUCCAGCUUCCAAAACCGCGAGAAAUAAAUGUCUGUGUCUAAACCCCAACCCUACCACCUCAACUGCCGUGUGUGGUGUUUUGUGAUGGCAGCCCCAGCUGACUGAGACACCUGGUUAGACCGGAAUAAGCAGGCUGCAAUCGGUAGCAGUCACCAUUGAACAUCCUUGAAGCAAUUCUUCCAAAAUUACCUUGCAUCAAAGACUGCACAAGAACUGCUCUAAGCGGAAGGACUGAUGUCGGCAACCAGGGUUCCACCAGGGGCUGCAGACAGCCCUUGACCUUCAGGGCUAGUGUGAGCAUCCCUGUGCAAUGGCUUAUUGGGAAAUUGAUGUGCAUUGCACCGGAAGCAAUCUCCUCAUCUUCCUGCUUACUCAUCAGACUGAAAAAGGCAACACAGACUACCAUUCAUUGUGUGGCUACAAGGCACUAUGCAUUUUCAUACAAUAUAUCUAAAGCCCAUAAUACUCACCAAAAUAAACCAUUGCUGCCACAAUUUAA